GGGAUGGGCUGACUAGUGACAGAGUGAGGAAGGGGGUGACUAGGGACAGAGGGGGUGACUAGUGACAGAGUGAGGGGGUGACUAGUGACAGUCACCCCUUCCCUCUCUCUGUCACUAGUCACUCCCUCCCUCUGUCACUAGUCACUCCCUCCCUCUGUCACCAGUCACUCCCUCCCUCUGUCACCAGUCACCUCUUCCCUCUCUCACUUUGCCACUAGUCAUCUCUUCCCUCCC